rnacentral:rRNA from 1 species
UACGUAGGUGGCAAGCGUUGUUCGGAAUUACUGGGCGUAAAGCGCGCGUAGGCGGCUUUGUAAGUUAGAGGUGAAAGCCCGGAGCUCAACUCCGGAACUGCCUUUAAGACUGCAUCGCUAGAAUUGUGGAGAGGUGAGUGGAAUUCCGAGUGUAGAGGUGAAAUUCGUAGAUAUUCGGAAGAACACCAGUGGCGAAGGCGACUCACUGGACACAUAUUGACGCUGAGGUGCGAAAGCGUGGGGAGCAAACAGG